CUAUGCCAUGUUCAGCUAAUAUCUGACACGCCUGAUUCCAUCACUUCGAAACUCACCAAGGAUGGUCAUUAUUCAGCGGCAACGGCUUACGGUGCGCAAUUUCUUGGUUUAGUCGACAUGGACUUGCCUCGAAUUGUUUGGAGAACUUGGGCUCCCCCGAAGUGCAUAUUUUUCGCUUGGCUAGCCAUCAACAAUAGAAUUUGGACGGCAGACCGACUUCAGAAUCAGGGAUGGCCUAAUUGCAACUUGUGCCCCCUCUGUAAGAUAUUUCGGGAAUCAACGGCUCAUCUGCUUUUCGAAUGCCGCUACACGGUCUGGAGCAUGAUUAAAGUGUGGCUUGGCCUUCAUGACAUUUACUGGCAGAACUGGGGCAUGGUUGACACAGUGAAGACUUGGUGGAGCGCCAGCGCCUCCAACGCGACACAAUCUCGACGACCGCUUACCUGCCUUAUGCUACUCGUCUCGUGGGAAAUCUGAAAAGAGCGGAAUGCUAAGGUAUUUCGUUACGUCGCAGUGCAUGUUGGAGUUUUAGUAGCUAGAAUCAAAGAAGAGGCGGCGUUAUGGUGUCUGGCCGGUGCGGAAUAUUUGUGUAAUAUCAUGCUGCUAGAGUGA
rnacentral:rRNA from 1 species